CUUCGGCCCGAGUUGUAAUUUGCAGAGGAAGUAUUUGGCGCGGUGCCUUCCGAGUUCCCUGGAACGGGACGCCAUAGAGGGUGAGAGCCCCGUCUGGUUGGACACCAAGCCUGUGUAAUACUCCUUCGACGAGUCGAGUAGUUUGGGAAUGCUGCUCUAAAUGGGAGGUAAAUCUCUUCUAAAGCUAAAUACCGGCCAGAGACCGAUAGCGCACAAGUAGAGUGAUCGAAAGAUGAAAAGCACCUUGAAAAGGGGGUUAAACAGUACGUGAAAUUGUUGAAAGGGAAGCGUUUAUGACCAGACUUGUGCCGUGUGGCUCAUCCGGGGUUCUCCCCGGUGCACUCCACACGGUUCAGGCCAACAUCGGUUCUCGUUGGGGGAUAAGAACAGUAGGAACGUGGCCCUCUUCGGAGGGUGUUAUAGCCUAUUGUACGAUACCUUGAUGGGGACCGAGGACCGCGCUUCGGCUAGGAUGUUGGCGUAAUGGUCAUUAGCGACCCGUCUU
rnacentral:rRNA from 1 species